ensembl:misc_RNA Metazoa_SRP Metazoan signal recognition particle RNA
GCCGGGUGCGGUAGCUCGCGCCUGUAAUCCCAGCGCUUUGGGAGGCAGAGGUGGGUGGAUCACCUGAAGUCAGGAGUUCUAGACCAGCCUGGCCAACAUGGUGAAACCCCAUCUCUA